rnacentral:scRNA from 1 species
GUGGAGGUUAAUGAAGGUGGGGCCAGUUAAGACCAUGUGGCUCUCGCUGAUACUCGCCUCCGACAGCAGAUCAGCAGCAGAGAAAGACAGGCUGGAGAGCAGAACCUCCUGCCUUCACUGUUCCUGCUCACAC